AUAUCUCUCUGUACGGGAAGGAUGAGAAGCUUCGACUAAGGUUCGAUUCGAGCGCAGCGAGAAAGCGUUGCCAACGGCAACGACCCGAAGGG
rnacentral:sRNA from 1 species